CCCUCUUUUCUUUUAUAUAUAUAUAUAUAUAUAUACUAGUGAAGGGGUCCGCGCUUUGCAGCGGAUAAAAAUUAUAAUAGUAAUUAAUAAUAAAAAAAUAUUAAAUAUUCUCUUGUGUAUCUUACUUGAUAUAUCCACCAAAUGUCAUGGCGGAAAGGGAAAGUGGGCGCGCAUUAGUGAGAGAGAGGGAGCGAGUGAGGGAAGCAAAAGAUUAGAGAUAGAGAAUUGAUGAAUAGAUUGGAAAUAAAAAAUUAAAAGUCUGAUGGAGGGAAGGAAAAUGACCAUAAUGAAUAAUUGGAGAUAGAGAGGUUAGGAUUGUAAGAUGGUAGUGAGAUCAUUUAAGCAUACUAAUUGAAAGUUUGGUAGUGGAAUCGUUUGCAUUAAUUGAAAGUAUAGUGGAGGGAAUGAAAAGGGUCAUAAUGAAUAAUUGUAGAUAGAAACGGUAAAAUGGUAGAUGAUAGUGGGACCAUUUAAAUAUAUUAAUUGAAAGUUUUGUUAGUGGAACCAUUUAAAUACAUUAAUUGAAAGUUUUGUAAGUGGAACCGUUAAAAUGUACAUUGAAAGUUUAAUGAGGGGAAGAAGAAGAGUCACAUUCUAGUGAGGGUGAAGGAAAACUUGCCAUGUGGCAACAAACAUUGGGAAUUCAUAUAAGUUAAUAGAU
rnacentral:lncRNA from 1 species